AAUAUUACGGGGGUAGGGAAAGAUCACUAGACAAAGAAGACACCUCACAGGAACAGGAUCAUCAACGUCAGCGAGUGACACAAACAUUUCUGCCAGCCUGAGCCAGGCCCAGGAGCAGCACUUAUUCAGGCAGCCAGAGCCCACACUGAGCCCAGCCAGUCUCCAGCAUUCAGCAGGUCGGUUCAGCAGCUUUCAGCCAGAGCAAGAUCAGGAGAUCUAAGACGCGAUAGAGGCUCAUAUACAGAAGAUUGAUUUCUGUGGAGACGUGUCUGAAGUGCAAGUUAUUUUCAAUGGCCUAUCCAGUGAUGCUGUCCUACCAAAUCUGACAUCAGGCACGGGCAGUCUGGUAGCUUUGACUACCAUCUGACACCCAGCAAAUAUCAGGGCACUGCUUCGAAGAAAGAGACCAUGGGGCCCAGAGCCCUCAUGCACUGGCGAAUGGGAAGAGGCCGCAACAAAGAGACAAUCUGACGACCCAGAGUGGAGAGUUUGUUCAGAGGCAAGAAUAUCUUCACCCAAUCGGUGUCGAACAGCAUGCCAAGAAACAUCAGCUGCCGAGAUGGGUGAAGACAUGACUUUGAUAGGUUCAGAACCCACCCGAAGCGUUCCAUGGUGUCCCGGACGAUGUGUAGGCUGUCCACCAUUGCCCAGAAUGACGGACCCUUGAUCAGGAUAUCGUCCAAGUACAGAAUCGUAAUGCCAUGUGUC